rnacentral:rRNA from 1 species
UACCAGCACCCCGAGUGGUCGGGACGAUUAUUGGGCCUAAAGCAUCCGUAGCCGGUUCUUUAAGUCCUCCGUUAAAUCCACCUGCUUAACAGAUGGGCUGCGGAGGAUACUAUAGAGCUAGGAGGCGGGAGAGGCAAGCGGUACUCAGUGGGUAGGGGUAAAAUCCGUUGAUCCAUUGAAGACCACCAGUGGCGAAGGCGGCUUGCCAGAACGCACUCGACGGUGAGGGAUGAAAGCUGGGGGAGCAAACCGG